rnacentral:snRNA from 1 species
GGAGGUUAGGGUGAUGGGCCAGAUGCCUGCCAACCCACUGAUGGCUGGGGUUGAGGGCCCUGGCACUGCUGGCUGGGCUGGUGUCCUCUCCUUCCUUGCCACUCCACAUGGUCCUUCCUGAAGUUGAGUGCUUGAUGGACGAGGACAGCAGCCCUAUCAGAGAGAGGAGGGCCGUUUUCUCAGUCAAGGCAUGGGAAGAGCUGAGCUCCCCUGCUAGAACCUCCAAACAAGCUCGGGAGGAUGGAGAAGUGAGGCUCUCAGUAAUAAGAAAAUCUGCCAGUUUUCCAAGUUCCCAAAGUGCUUGAAGAUUUUG